rnacentral:rRNA from 1 species
GGAAUCUUGCGCAAUGGGGGAAACCCUGACGCAGCGACGCCGCGUGAGUGAUGAAGGCCCUCGGGUUGUAAAGCUCUGUGGAGAGAGAAGAAUAAGCGUAACCGAAUACGUUGCGUGAUGACGGUAUCUCUUUAGCAAGCACCGGCUAACUCUGUGCCAGCAGCCGCGGUAAGACAGAGGGUGCAAACGUUGUUCGGAAUCACUGGGCGUAAAGCGCGUGUAGGCGGCUUGGCAAGUCGGAUGUGAAAUCCCGGGGCUCAACCCCGGAAGUGCAUUCGAAACUGCUUGGCUAGAGUCCUGGAGAGGAAGGUGGAAUGCUUGGUGUAGAGGUGAAAUUCGUAGAUAUCAAGCAGAACACCCGUGGCGAAGGCGGCCUUCUGGACAGUGACUGACGCUGAGACGCGAAAGCGUGGGGAGCAA